rnacentral:tRNA from 1 species
ACUUAAAUAAUUUAAAAAAAAUAUUGAUUUGUGGAGUCAAAAAUAUGGGAAUUUCAUUUUAAGUC